rnacentral:rRNA from 1 species
UACGUAGGGUGCAAGCGUUGUCCGGAAUUAUUGGGCGUAAAGAGCUCGUAGGCGGUUUGUCGCGUCUGCUGUGAAAACUCGGGGCUUAACCCCGGGCCUGCAGUGGGUACGGGCAGACUAGAGUGCGGUAGGGGAGACUGGAAUUCCUGGUGUAGCGGUGAAAUGCGCAGAUAUCAUGAGGAAGACCAGUGGCGAAGGCGGGUCUCUGGACAGUUCCUGACACUGAGACACGAAGGCCAGGGGAGCAAACGGG